UCGUUUCCAUGGUACACAUACAUUUUCUUAUGUACAUGUGCAACUGGCUUUUGAGACAAGUAGUCCCAUUAUACUUCUUGAAAUCCAACAUCUUAAACUUGGUUGGAAGCACCACAUCUGAAAUAAUGCACAUUCCAAAAGCAUUCUUUACAUAUGAGGAACUUGCUCCUUCAAUUUCCUUUAGCCUCUCCUUUACCCUGACCUUAGGAGUAAUUCUUGUAAUGUGGGUCAUAAGUAGUGUCCCCGUUGAACCUACGAUGUGCCUGAGUAUGGUUGUAAUGCAUCAUCGUGUUUGUUGUGUUCCUUGGUGGAAGACCAAGGUGGGACCCUCAUCUUUCCUAGUGAUGUCUACAUGUUGUUCCUGGUGAGGAGCUUCCUCAUGUGCAUCCUCACAGAGAAGAUUAUAGUUAGGUGGUAGACCAUAAAUAGGUCAUUUCAUUUCAGCUUCCAGGUGGUGGCUGGCCUCAGCAGUCAUAUUUAGAUCUAACCUCGGUGCAUACUUAGAGGUGGUUGUUGGCUAUAAGGUUGUCUGAUGCCUAAAGUAGAGGUAUUCUCAUCCGAGCGUUUGGUCUUUUGUACGCCUUAGAUAAGCUUCAUCAUCUCUUUCAUAUGUUCUUUCAGGUUAGUGAGUUGUGACUUAAUUUUUCAUAUGUUCUCUCAAUGGUUGACAAUACCUCAUUAUGAAAUUUAUUUUUUAUUUAAGACGAGAAAAAAGUAAAAUGCAUGAAACAAAAAUUAAAUUUCUUUUUGUUGACAAACUUGUAUAGUAAGACACUUCGACCCGCAUAUGAUGACUUUGAGGACUACCCCGCUAACUCUUCAUGCACUGAUGACAAUUCUUAGUCUCUGACCAUGAUUACAUAUAAGUUUGAUCUCUUGUUGUAGAUUACUAGUAUUAAAUAAUUUGUCCUUCAUUUGGUGAUUAGUGGGCGUACCCGACAAAGCCGCAUAUAGUAGAUGACAACCAUUAGAGAAAAUAUAAAGUUUUGGACCAAGAUUUCGUUUAAAUACAUGAUAUUUUGACCCUUCCAAGAUAAUCUUUACUUAUUAUUGGAUAGAGGGACCCAAUUUUGCCUUUACAUACAUUACUAGAAAGAG
rnacentral:lncRNA from 1 species